rnacentral:tRNA from 1 species
CGCGGGGAGGAAUGGUUCCAAGCGAGUCUCAUACCCUCGCCUCUGCGGGUUCAAGUCCCGCCCCCGCAACCA